CUGACUCUCUCUUCAUUUCUGCAGAGCCACCCAUGCUGUGCUUCGGCCCCUUUCCCGACGGUUUAGCCACCUGCCUUUUGCUUCUAUAAAACUGCCCUAGACCCGAAAGGGAUCUGCUCCACCCAUCUGGGACUCUGAUUUAAAGUGGAACUGACGAUCUCUCUAGGCAUCCAGGUGCAUUUGUUAAACAGACUGAGCUGUCUAGCAUGAAAUUGAGAUAAAAUGGCUCUGUUCCUGUGAACCCAGCUGGCUACACCUGUUCUUUGCCCAGGGGCACCCAUCCCUCAAUUUUUCUGUCAUCCUUUUUGUGUUUCUACCUGUAGAUCAACUUGUAGACUAUUUGACCUCCUAAAUUGGCCUUCUCUGCCUCUGGUCCACCUGGAGAUGCUGCGAAAAGACAGGCUCAAGUGGAUUAACUACUUCUGAGCAUUAGAGACUGAGGUGAACCCUCCCGAAGAAAUCUCAUCACAGAUGGUUGGGAGCCGUGCUGAUGAGACUGCUUACUGUGCCAGCACCAGGACACGCUUAGAGGUGAGAAAGAUAAAAACAUUUCUUUCUGAAGCUGAGGAUUUCCCAGAAGGAGCUGCCAGUGCCUGAGGCCAAGCUAAGCUGCUUAAGAAGAAGAUUCCAGAAGAACCCAAACCCAGAAAAGGCCAGAGAAUGGUACGCCUGAGACACUCAGCAAAUACAUGUGGAAUCGAAGAACAUGCAAAGACACAGAGUUACAAAAGAAUCCUGCCAGUCCGUUGAAUAGAGGUGACUCCGGUGUCACGGGGCCCAGAGAGUGCGGCUGUGCACAGCAAAGUGCAAAGUGCGGAGAGAGAAUGCCGGCGCGGACGCCUGGGUCAGCUAUGAUUUGCCUUUUAAGCCAGACGCACUGAGCAGCUCUGAUGAGCCAGAAAUGAACACGCCGCCUCCACGGUGUUCAUCGAGCGCCUACUGGGGCUGGAAAGGGCGCCGGGCGCGCCGGGCGCUCUCAAAACUCGCAUCUCAUUUAAGCCUCAUAAAACACCCUGGAGUGGAUAUCAGUCUCCCUUUUAAGGAAAUGAAAGCUUGGAGAAGUUAUGAAACUUGCCCAAGGAUGUAUAGGUAAAAAUGUUGGCGUCAGAACUCCAACCCAAACUCAUCCACCUCUAAAGACUAAACUAUUCCACUCCUAUUGCAAGAAGAUCAACCCCUUCUUGAGAAAAGAAUAAGGUUUGGGUGCUGGAGGGACAGGUGUCAUUGAAAAUCUGCAGUGCGCCAGCCCCCACGGGCAGCUCUAUUUUUUCCUUCAGUGCUCAGAACAGCCCUAUUCCUGCCAGUCUCUUGGUCCUCAGGUGAGAAGGGAGGCAACAGCUUCUACCAGUGGCCCAGCACCUUGCAGGCUGCACCAGCUGAAAAGCUGUGGCGUCGGGGCCUCAGCCCAGGCCUCCUGACUCGGAAGAACCAUGUGCUUUUCACUGCAGGACGCCACACAGCAGAAAUUUCAAGCAUGCAAUUUGUCGACAGGAAAGGGUGUCAUUCGGACUCAGUUACGCCUUCUAUGCCUCCUUUGGGGGAGUAGACUUUUGCUGUUUUGCCUGCCUAGUCGUUUUUUGUUUUUUUUUCCCCUAACUUGGCCAGAGUAGUUUUGAGUUCCCUUCAGGAUAGGCAUGGUGCUCUUCUCUGCUGUGGAGCUCAGGCUCAGUGAGACCAUCCAUCAAGUUCUCUUACCUUCUCCUCUCCGAGGUGUGGGCAUGUGACCCCAGUUCUGCAAUCCGUCUCUCUCUCUGGAGUCUGACAUUGAAGGAGAGGCUAAAGGCUGGGGAAGAGCUGGAGCUGAAGGGUCCUAAUUGGAAAGCCCAGAGAGGCUGUCUGCUGCAGUGCCUGCUUGUUGUCUCAAUGCAGUUAUUGAUAGCAUGCCCCUUCACCCCCAGAGUGUCCUGGUUGGGAUGAUAAAUUGCAGCCACCCUGACUCCAGCUCACUUCCCGUAGUCUGGAGCCUUCAGACGGCUGGGUCUACAGCAUCCCCUUCCAUUAUGGAAGCUGACUCCUAUCUCUCCAAUAAAUGACUUUUUGCAUAAGUGAAUGAAGUCUGUGUCUUGUGGGCAAUAAUAACAAACACUGGAAUUGUGUCCCUUGAGAUUAUUUACCACCAUGACCUUGUGCGGAAGAGGUCCUUCCUAAUCAGGUGGCUAGGGUUUUAGGCUAAUAACAGUCAGCCUCCUUUCCCAGCGAUACCUACCCAUGCUUGCUCAAAGGGCUGAUGGAAACACGACCCCAGAAACAUGGACAGAACUGAUUCUCGAAAGCAUGGCUUCCCCUCACCUGAGUUGACCCAGUUCAGCUUGGUGCAGAAGCAAAAAACAACCCAGAGUCUGCUUGUGGUACCAUCCCUUGAAAGGAUCUGCCAGCCUUAGCUGGAGGCAGACUGAAUACAAUUCAUUUCAAUCAUUUUGGUGAGGCAGGAACUUACCCUCACUGCAACUGAUGCCUGUUCUAGCUUUGAAUUGGCUUCCCCAGUCUCUGACGCUCACUCAGUCAGUGGACUUACCCCCAUGCCUUUAUCCACCUCUCUGGUAUCUCAUGCCAAGAAUGGAGAUGCCGUGCGAUGAAGUGGGACAAUGGAGGGAUGCUAUGGGAUUCACUGCUUUGUAACGAACCUACAUGCCCCAAAGCAAGAGCAUGGCUUUAUAAAGGGGUACAGAGGCCUAUUGAUGGCUGAGAAAGGCCCAAAUGAAUGGAGGGUUACAGCGUGUUCAUGGUUUGAAAGAAUUAAUACUGUUAAGCCAAUAUUACAUUAUUUUCAUGCUAUUCAAAUCAGAAUAACAGGUUCUUUUAUGGAAAUUUCGAGUUGAUUUUCCAGUUCACAUGGAAAUGCAAAGAGCUAAAACAUAAGCAAGACAAUCUUAAAGAAGAAAAACAAAGUUGGAGGAUUUAUAUUACUUGAUACAAAUAUUUCUUACAAAGCCACAUUAAUUAAGACAGUGUGCAUUGGUGCAAGGGCAGAGAAAUAUAUCAAUGGACCAGAGUGGAGUUCAGAAGUGGACUCAGUCAGAUAAGGACACUUGAUUUAUGUAGAGAAGUGCAUACUAGACAAUCUUUUCAAUCAAUAGUGCUGCAUCAGCUGAAAUUCAUAUGGAAAAAUGAAUUGGGGCCCUUAUUUUGUCCCCUAAAUAAACAUCAGUUUCAUGUUUUUAGGUCUAAAUGUAGAAGCUUUAGAAAGGAAAACUUCUAAUGAACUCAAAAUGGAUCAUGGACUUAAAUGAAAAAUACAGAAUUAUGAAACUUCUAGAAGCAGCCAUGGAGAAAACCUGUGUGAACUUGUGUUUAGUGAUGAGU